rnacentral:rRNA from 1 species
UAAAAGGUACGCCGGGGAUAACAGGCUGAUACCGCCCAAGAGUUCACAUCGACGGCGGUGUUUGGCACCUCGAUGUCGGCUCAUCUCAUCCUGGGGCUGAAGCAGGUCCCAAGGGUAUGGCUGUUCGCCAUUUAAAGAGGUACGCGAGCUGGGUUUAGAACGUCGUGAGACAGUUCGGUCCCUAUCUGCCGUGGGCGUUUGAGAAUUGAGGGAAGCUGCUCCUAGUACGAGAGGACCGGAGUGGACGUACCCCUGGUGUUCCGGUUGUCACGCCAGUGGCAUUGCCGGGUAGCUACGUACGGAAGGGAUAACCGCUGAAAGCAUCUAAGCGGGAAGCCCCACCCAAGAUUAGUUCUCACUAGACUCUUGAAGUCUCUGUAGGUCCGUCGAAGACUACGACGUUGAUAGGCAGGGUGUGGAAGCACAGUAAUGUGUGAAGCUAACCUGUACUAAUUGACCGUGUGGCUUGACCAUAUAUCACUCAAGCAGUU